GAUGAACGCUAGCUACAGGCUUAACACAUGCAAGUCGAGGGGUAGCACGGAAGAAGCUUGCUUCUUUGGGUGACGACCGGCGCACGGGUGAGUAACGCGUAUCCGACCUGCCCAUGACUCGGGCACAGCCGCUCGAAAGGGCGAUUGAUUCCCGAUAUGUCUAUGAAGUAGAUUCCUGGAUGAAAGAUUUAUCGGUCAUGGAUGGGGAUGCGUAGGAUUAGCUAGAUGGUGAGGUAACGGCUCACCAUGGCUACGAUACAUAGGGGGACUGAGAGGUUAACCCCCCCACACUGGUACUGAGACACGGACCAGACUCCUACGGGAGGCAGCAGUGAGGAAUAUUGGCCGAUGGACGCAAGUCUGAACCAGCCAUGCCCGCGUGCAGGAUGACGGCUCUAUGAGUUGUAAACUGCUUUGUACAAGGGUAAACCCUGGGACGUGUCCCAGGCUG
rnacentral:rRNA from 1 species